UUUGUAUCGUAUUGUAUUCUUCAAGUGUACAUAGUUGUUUGUCCUGGAUAACGCAUACUCGUGCGAUUUUAGUUCAAAAUAUCCCAAUAUUUCUAGACCCUAAAAUGUUCAUGAAGUACCUCCCAUUUCCGUGUUGAUACCUUGUAUAAAAAGUCCAACAGAGCAUUUUCGCAGACAGAAGCGGGGAGUGACAUUUACCAGGCAAAUGGCUGUAUGUAAGAUGUUCUACGACCUGACAGCAAAGCUCCUUACAGGAGAAGUGUUUAAUUUCUCGUCUCUUCAGGGUAAAGUGGUGCUGAUCGAGAAUGUGGCGUCUCUCUGAGGCACGACCACCAGGGAUUACACCCAGAUGAAUGAGCUCCAUGAACGGUACGCCGACAAGGGGCUAGUGAUUCUGGGGGUGCCCUGCAAUCAGUUCGGACAUCAGGAGAACUGCAAGAACGAAGAGAUCCUGAUGUCCUUAAAGUAUGUCCGUCCGGGAAAUGGCUUUGAGCCGAAGUUCCAGCUCCUUGAGAAAGUGGAUGUGAAUGGGAAGGACGCCCACCCGCUGUUUGUGUACCUCAAGGAGAAGUUGCCAUUCCCAAGUGACGAGCCCAUGGCCUUAAUGAAUGACCCCAAGUGCAUCAUCUGGAGUCCAGUCUGCAGGACUGACAUCUCCUGGAACUUUGAGAAGUUCCUCAUUGGGCCAACUGGAGAGCCAUUCAAGCGUUAUGGCAGGAGAUUCCUUACCAGCAACAUUGAGGGUGACAUCAAGGAGCUUCUCAAUACGGCUAACUAAACCGUCCAUGUUGGCCACACAGAAGCAAUGGUGGGGAGUGGAAAUCAUGUCAAUGACUUGUAAUGGCUUUUCAAAUGAUUAAGUAUUGUCACACUUUGGGACAUGUGCUUGGCCAUAACUUAAAAAAUAAACAACUUUCAACAGCUCCCCAUUCAACAAAUACUUCCUCCAUACAAGAUUAGCUUCUGUGUGACAGCAGCACACCCAUUAUCUUUUCAAAUCAUGUGCCGUGCUCUCAUAUGCAAAAAGCUGCUGUGUUCUGAACUUUUAUUAAAUGAAGGCAUCCAUUGAAACCAAGCCUUUUGUGAGAGGGAUGUCUGAUGAAAUGUAAAAGACUUAACAUAACAGUUGCCUUUGGCCUAUGUAAAGCACGACUGUGUUUCAAGAAGUGUAAGAAGUUGGCAUAAUAAAUGAUUUUCCCCUU